rnacentral:rRNA from 1 species
CCUACGGGUGGCAGCAGUCGGGAAUAUUGCACAAUGGGGGAAACCCUGAUGCAGCGACGCCGCGUGGAGGAUGGAGGGUUUCGGAUUGUAAAACCCUUUUGGUAGAGAAGAAAAUGACGGUAUCUGACCAAGAAGCACCGGCUAACUACGUGCCAGCAGCCGCGGUAAUACGGAGGGGGCAAGCGUUAUCCGGAUUCACUGGGCGUAAAGAGCGCGCAGGCGGGAAAGCAAGUCAGAUGUGAAAGCCAAGGGCUUAACCCUAGGACUGCUGUUGACACUGGUAGUCUAGAGUAAGGGAGAGGCAGGUGGAAUGCGUGGUGUAGAGGUGAAAUGCGUAGAUAUCAAGAGGAACACUCGUGGCGAAGGCGGGCUGCUGGAACGUAACUGACGCUGAGGCGCGAAGGCGUGGGGAGCGAACAGGAUUAGAUACCCUAGUAGUC